UACGGAGGAUCCAAGCGUUAUCCGGAUUUAUUGGGUUUAAAGGGUGCGUAGGCGGCCUGUUAAGUCAGAGGUGAAAGACGGUAGCUCAACUAUCGCAGUGCCUUUGAUACUGACGGGCUUGAAUAAACUAGAGGUAGGCGGAAUGAGACAAGUAGCGGUGAAUGCAUAGAUAUGUCUCAGAACACCGAUUGCGAAGGCAGCUUACUAUGGUUUUAUUGACGCUGAGGCACGAAAGCGUGGGGAUCAAACAGG
rnacentral:rRNA from 1 species